GAGGACAAAGGCGCUGCCGCGCGACCCUCCCCCCGGCCCCCGGGACCCGGCCGCCCCGCGCCCCGCCGGACUCACAGGAUGGAGGUCUGCGGCGCCACGGCGGGCACGGCCUCCAGCAGCAGAUGCAUGCAGCGCACCGUGGUGCGGAAGCACAGGCAGCGGCUCGGACACCCGUUGCCCUGCUUGGGGGCGACCGCGGCCAGUGCCCCCCAGCACGAGCACAGCACGAGCGCCAGCAAGCAGGGGCGCGCGGGGCGCGCGUCGCGCACGGCCAUGGCCCACGGCGCGCAGGACGCUCGGACUCUGCGACCGACCGCGAGGGCCCGGCGUGUCCAGCGCCGCCGGCUGCGGCCCACGUCCCAGCUGCGCGCGGGGGGCGGGGGGCGCCAGCUGUGCACAUGCGCGCGGCUCCUCCCCGCCCGCCCCCUCCUCCCCAAGGGCCGGGGCGGGGCGAGGACCUCCUGCCGGGCGUCGGGCCGCGCCGCUGCCCCGGGUGCGGAGCUCAGGUUGGGCCCCCGGGUUCCAGUCCCAGGUCUGCGCCCACGACCGGAGGCCUCGGCCAAGUUGCUCCGCCUCGCCUAGCCGCCGUUUCCACAUGCGUGCAGUAGGGGUGGAGGUUGUUUUAUAACACGCGUUCGCAGUGCUUAGCAAGCUGCACUCAGGAUUCCAAGCGCUUGCUGGAGCCCUCUCUCUGUCUCUCAGUCUCCCUCCCUCCCUCCCUCCCUCCCUCUCUCUCUCUCUCUCUCUCUCUCUCUCUCUCUCUCUGCCCGCCCCCCCCACGCCUGUCUCUCUGUCUCUGUCUGACUUGUACAAACACCCGCUGCAGCAGGAUCGGAGCCAGGGGUCUGAGCCCGUGAGGCCCGUUAAGCACUCACGUCCUGGGCACUGCUGCCGCCAGGCCACUGCUGGGAGCGAUGAAGACGUUUGCGUAGAGGCCUGGGCGCAGGGAUUGACCAGGUGGACACUCAGUGUCCUUUAGUUUCCUCUUUUGUGGCCACACCCGGAAGAACCCCACCGGGCCUCCCCCAAGGGGGCCUUGCCUAGGGCCACCAGAAGACGCAGGGGUCGGUGGGAAGGAGGGGAGGCAGUCCCACGUUCUUCUGUCUGUCUGCAGCCCCAUUCUGACACUUCACUCUCCAGGAUCCAGGCUCUGCGUGUUACAGUUGAGGAAGUCCAGGCUGUCCUGUGUCCAAAGACAUGAUCACCAAGUCCCAGCGUCAGAGAGAAGCCUGGGUCUGUCCUGACCUCCACACUGUCGUGUGACCCGUGGGGCGUUCUACCUCAGGGAGAAGCCUUCCCAGUCCUCCAGCGACCCGGACCACGCCAGCCAGGGGUCCCGUGCUAACGAGUGACAAAUCCCCCCAGGCCUCCACACUCCUUUACGAGUGCUGCCUGCUCGCCCCACAAGAAUUUCAAACUUAAAUGCAGAAACCCAAAACCUUACUUUCCCUGAAAGAUGUCUGGUUUCUUCUGGAUCGCUGAUGUGAUCCUCCAAACUGCUUUCUCAGACCCUCCAGCCCAGAAGUGGCCUGUUCGGUGCUCACCCACAUGUAGGGAGUUGGGAAACCCCGUGGAUUCCAGUUGUUCCUUGGGGCUCAGUCGAUUUCUGUUCCUCCAUUUUCCCUCUUAUAACCGCUGACGGUCCUGGCCCUGCCCAUCGCCCUGGACCACCGCCAAGAUGCCACCCCACACCGGUCUACAGGUCCAUGCUCCCUGCAGCAGGCAGAGAAGGUGCCACUGCCCUGCCCUGCCCUGCCCACCCCCCCCCCAUCCGAAUGUCUCUGGACCUCUCCAGUGUAAGUGGGUAAAUAUCAAAUUUCACCCACCACCUCCACCUCUGCCACCCCAGGUGCAAGGGUCCUGAGCAGCACGCAGUCUUAGCCUCGCUUUUCAGUUCAGCACCAGCUGCGGCUAAUUUGAUGUGUCCAGUUUGCUGGGCUGUCACACCCCGUGAUUUGAUCAACCACUAAUCCAGGUGCUGUGCUGAAGGUAUUUUGUAGAUGAGGUUGACGUUGGUGAACUUGGACAAAGAGGAGUUCCCUCCGUAACGUGGGUGAGCCUCAUCCCCUCAGUUGAAGUUCUUUAGAAACUGAGCUUCCUGGAGAAGAAGUUCUAUUGCAAGAGCUCAGCAUCCACUCCUGCCUGAGUUUCUAAUCUCCUGACCUGCCUGUAAAAUGUAGGACCUGCCAGUGCCCACAAGUGCGUGAGCCACUUCCUUAAAAUCUGUCUAUCCCGCCCUCCUCCCACCUUCCCUCCUUCCAUCCUUCCCACCUUCCUCCCUCCCUCCCUCCCUCCCUCCCUCCCUCCCUUCCUUCCUUCCUUCCAUCCCUCCAUCCCUCCAUCCCUCCAUCCCUCCAUCCCUCUAUCCACCCAUCCAUCCACCCACCACCCUUCCAUCCAUCCCUCCAUCCAUCCGUGGUGCUGUCUCCCUGAACAUGCGUGUCGGGUACACAGCCGUCUGCAGAACUCCGGAUGGAGGUGUGGCGGCAGCGGCCAGUGCAAUGACUGACGCUCAGGCCUGAAGGAAUUCAUGUUUCAGUAACGAAGCUCUUACGUGGAGCCGAGUGUGCUUCCCGCACCUUUUGUGCAGCAUCUCCUGCAUCUGCCCUCUAGAGGCCCACGGAGGCCUCACACCUUCGGGAACGCAACCUUCCUGGGGAAUCACGUGCAGACGUCAAAGCCACUCAAGUUUUCUGUUGCCCAGGGCCCUGGUGACUCUUCCCAUUUCUCUCUGAUGACCACCCUCCAUACCUCAUUGUCUGCCCACAAUCCUGUUAUCUGUCCUACAGCAAACAGCCCUUUCAGGUGUGAUUGUGCUGGUUGACAAGCUCUGGUUGUUCAGAUGUGCAGACAAAGGAGCCAAGAUUACCGCGAUCGUCUGUUUUCUGUGAACAGUAUCGCUGAGCUCUCCAGUGGAUCAGGCAGACGUGGGGACAUGAGAUCCAUCCUCCCGGUGUCUGAACACAGGCUCCGAGGCAGGACCUGCUCACACCAAGGUGCACAGACACCUGAGCCUCGAGACCGUUCCUGAGGAGGUGUUACUAUCCUCAUUUUGCAAAUGAAAGCACCGAUGCUCAGCAGAGAGAGUAACAUGUCCCAGGACCUGUCACUCAUCCAGGGAGGGAGGGAGGGGAGGGGACAGGAAGCUGACUGACCGAGCCUCACCUACUGCACUGGACGGGGUUGGGGAUCCCCCCAGAUGUCACUGGGCCCCUGCAUGCCCCCCCACCCCCCAGUGGCUGCCGACCUUCUCCGGAGACCUGCUAGGGCUGCGAGGGCUACGGGGCCGCGCUCCUGGAGAUGCCGGGCACUCCGCCCCUCCUGAAGCCGCCUGCAGCGGCAGACACAAGUCAGCCCUCAGACUGCAGGGCUUCCUGGCCUCAGGCGAUCGCUGGCCAGUGUCUCCCCUGCUCGGUAGCUGUCCUCACCCCGAGAGCCCCUUGUGCAUCAGGCUCUGCUGAGAGGACACCUGCGUCUCCUCCGUAGUGCCACGGGGUCCCCCAAGGACAGGACGGUCGGCAUUUUCUGCCGCUUCUUCUAGAGUGACGUUGCUCCUGUCUACCGGUCUGUCUCCCCAUCUGCCUCUUCGAGGAUUUAUGAGGAAAAGAACGUGGGGUUUGGAACAAGGCAAGCUGGGAGGCAGCCUCCCCAGCUCUGUGACUCCUGGUGACUUUCUCGCCCUCUCUGGGCCUCGGUUUCCCGUCUGUAGCAGGAGAAGACCAGUUCCUACUCGAAACGUAGGCUGUCGUGAGGACUGAGUGAGGGCUGUCGGGGAUGCCUGCCUGGGAGCCGUCAGCCGCGCCAGGGUGAGCGUUCUCCUUGCUGGGAAGGCUUUCCGGGUCUGGGUGGCCCCCAGUCUGGAGGCCUAGGGGCCAUUCCCAGACGGUGAGUCACCCCUGAGAACCUGGCUGUGCCUGAGGCAGCCCCCCUCCCCCCAGUCCCAAAGGCCUCUUCCUGCAUCUCCCUGCCCUACGCCCGCCCACUCGCUGGCAGCCCAGGGGAGCAGGGCCCCCGGCUGACCUGGGUGUAACUCCAAGAGCCCGUUUUGGGGCUGCUGCCACGAAGCAUCACACUCGGGUGCCGUUGACCCGCAGAAACCUGUCCUCCCACAGUUCCAGAGGCCAAGGUUCCUUCUGGAGGCUCAGAGGGAACAUCCGUCCCAGCCUCUCUCCGGCUUUGCCAGGAGGGCUGCAGACUGCCAGCCCGGCCCCGGUCCCAUCGCCACAAGACCUGCCCCCAAACUUGUCCUCAGCCGGUGUUUCCCUCUCCUUAUGAGGACGCGCUGGCUCAGGGCCACCUUAGUAAAGCCGUCCUCCUGACUCUGGCUACGUCUGCAGCAGCUGCAUUUCCAGAGACGUUCACAUCCCGAGCUCGGGGCUGGACUUGGGUUCAGGGGGACAGAGACAGCAGGCAGCGGUGGGGAUGAGCCCUGACCCUGUGGCCUGGGGUCCUGCUCACCUAGGCUGCUCCUGGCUGGCGGAAGGGAAGGGCCCGGACCUCUAUUCAGCCAGAUAAACCUGAAACUCUAGCCUGCAGAGCUGGCUGUAAGGACCACAGGCAGACGCAGUGGCCCUCACACUCGUGCUCCGUGCCCUGCCUCCAGAUAAGGACGUCGGUAAUGCUGGGUCCCCCUUCCUCCUUUCACGACUGUCUGAAACCUCCAUCCCAGGGAUGAAAGCACAGCCGUGAGGACAUGGUUUCAUUUUAUCGUCAUGAACUCGGAGACAACUUCUCAGCCAAAUGGGUCUGAGAUCAGCUUUUCCCAAGUUAAAGCCGUUCCUGUUGACAAACGCCCCGUGUUUAGUUGUAACCCCGCAUGCACCCUUUCCUGCACCCACUUUAUCUGCAGCUUCGGUCAGCGGUUAUACUGCUUCCCGUUAGAUCAGCUAGAGCCUCUUUUUUUACAUCUAAAUUUUGAAAAGAAGGCAGAUGACUAAAUACACCCACUUAGAGCUGUUUUAGACUGAAAUCAACACAGCCGCGAGUGAGCUCAGCCCUGGUUCUCUGACCAGCCCUUUGGGUGCUGAAGUGGAUGGAGGUACCAUCCGGUAGGGCUGGGGCUCAGCCCUGAGCAGGCCACAGGGUGGCCUCUGUGGGUCCCGGCGCCACGAGGCCCCGCCCACCGCAGCCCAGCCGGCCCCAGGCCCAGGUGAGCACCUGGCGGCGCAUCCCCGCUGCCCAGGGCUGAGCCAGGGCGGCUCAGAAGUGGGCCGAGGUCGGCUGCAGGUGAGCCUGCUGGGUCCUGGCUGCCUCCAGCCCAAAAUAACCCACGUGCCAAGGCGGCGCAUUUUGGGGUGUCACGGUCUGCCCCCCUUCACUUGCUUAGGCAGGUCAUCCGACAGGCGCCACAGUAUCUUGGGUCCCCUCCCCAAGGGUUUCAACGCCCAGGAUGACUCCUGUCACAGGACUGGAGAUGGGGCAGUGACCCCACACACAGACGAACAGUCACAAACCAUCACCCCCCAUCCCACCUCCUAAGAUCAUCUUUUCUUAAAGCUCUCCCCUCGGAGGCCUGCAUCCUCUCCCCUCCUCAACGAAGACGUGCAUAAACUCUCACGUCUCAUUCGUGCUUAUCCUGUGAUGCCCCAUUCACAUUAUAUUAAAAGUUAACCGACGUC